AGCGAACGCUGGCGGCAGGCCUAACACAUGCAAGUCGAACGAAGCCUUCGGGCUUAGUGGCGGACGGGUGAGUAACACGAGGGAACGUACCUUUUGGUUCGGAAUAACGCAGAGAAAUUUGCGCUAAUACCGAAUGAGCCCUUAGGGGGAAAGAUUUAUCGCCGAAAGAUCGGACCGCGUUGGAUUAGGUAGUUGGUGUGGUAAAGGCGCACCAAGCCUACGAUCCAUAGCUGGUCUGAGAGGAUGAUCAGCCACACUGGGACUGAGACACGACCCAGACUCCUACGGGAGGCAGCAGUGGGGAAUCUUGCGCAAUGGGCGAAAGCCUGACGCAGCCAUGCCGCGUGAAUGAUGAAGGUCUUAGGAUUGUAAAAUUCUUUUACCAGGGACGAUAAUGACGGUACCUGGAGAAAAAGCCCCGGCUAACUUCGUGCCAGCAGCCGCGGUAAAAC
rnacentral:rRNA from 1 species